UGCCAGCCGCCGCGGUAAUACGGAGGGUGCAAGCGUUAUCCGGAUUUAUUGGGUUUAAAGGGUGCGUAGGCGGCACUUUAAGUCAGUGGUGAAAUCCUGCAGCUCAACUGUAGAACAGCCAUUGAAACUGAAGUACUUGAGUAAUCUUGAGGUAGGCGGAAUGUGUAGUGUAGCGGUGAAAUGCUUAGAUAUUACACAGAACACCGAUUGCGAAGGCAGCUUACUAAGGAUUUACUGACGCUGAUGCACGAAAGCGUGGGGAUCAAACAGGAUUAGAUACCCUGGUAGUCCACGCCGUAAACGAUGAUAACUCGCUGUUGGCGAUACACAGUCAGCGGCUUAGCGAAAGCGUUAAGUUAUCCACCUGGGGAGUACGCUCGCAAGAGUGAAACUCAAAGGAAUUGGCGG
rnacentral:rRNA from 1 species